rnacentral:rRNA from 1 species
UACGUAGGGGGCAAGCGUUGUCCGGAUUUAUUGGGCGUAAAGAGCGUGUAGGCGGCCUGAAAGGUCAGCUGUGAAAACUCGAGGCUCAACCUCGAGACGUCGGUUGAAACCAUCUGGCUAGAGUCCGGAAGAGGAGUGUGGAAUUCCCGGUGUAGCGGUGAAAUGCGCAGAUAUCGGGAAGAACACCCCGUGGCGAAGGCGGCACUCUGGGACGGUACUGACGCUGAGACGCGAAAGCGUGGGGAGCGAACAGG